rnacentral:rRNA from 1 species
GGGGGGGGGGUUUCGGGGAUUAUUGGGGCGUAAAGCGCGCGCAGGCGGUUUCUUAAGUCUGAUGUGAAAGCCCACGGCUCAACCGUGGAGGGUCAUUGGAAACUGGGGAACUUGAGUGCCGAAGAGAAAAGCGGAAUUCCACGUGUAGCGGUGAAAUGCGUAGAGAUGUGGAGGAACACCAGUGGCGAAGGCGGCUCUUUGGUCUGUAACUGACACUGAGGCGCGAAAGCGUGGGGAGCGAACAGGAUUAGAUACCCUGGCAGUCCACGCCGUAAACGAUGAGUGCUAAGUGUUAGAGGGUUUCCGCC